rnacentral:rRNA from 1 species
UACGGAGGGGGCGAGCGUUGUUCGGAAUCAUUGGGCGUAAAGGGCGCGUAGGCGGCCCCGUAAGUCAGAUGUGAAAGCCCUUGGCUUAACCAAGGAACUGCAUCUGAAACUGCAGGGCUUGAGUCCGGGAAGGGAGAGUGGAAUUCCCAGUGUAGCGGUGAAAUGCGUAGAUAUUGGGAGGAACACCGGUGGCGAAGGCGGCUCUCUGGACCGGUACUGACGCUGAGGCGCGAAAGCUAGGGGAGCAAACGGG